rnacentral:lncRNA from 1 species
ACCGCGUUCUUUGAUAGAGAGUCCGGGAUCUCACGUUUCGGUGCCACUCCUGACCGACGCUCCCCAGGAGGCUGAGCUAAUGAGGCCCAGGAUUUCAGCCACCGAUGACCUUCCUCCAGCGCGUCUCAUGUCCUUCUGCUCCACCUCGGCACAGCAGCUCGGCAAGCCCCAGGGUCCAUCCCUCUGGUGACAGAUUUCAACCUGACACCUCUUUGAGGCUCUUGUUUGUUCCUUCUAGCUUAUCCUCACUGGGCGCUGAUUUCAGAGUUCUGGAGGCUGGAAGUCCAAGAUCCAGGUGCUCAUGAUUCAGUUCCUGGUGAGGACUCUUCCUGGCUUGUGGAUGGCUGCCUUCUUGCUGCGUCCUCACUUGGCAGAGAGAGAGAGAGACAGAGACAGAGAGAGGGCUCCAGUGUCCCUUCCUCAUCUUGUAAGGACACUAAUCCUGUCAUGGAGACACCAGCCUCACGGCCUCAUCAAAACCUAAUUAUCUCUGAAAGGCCCCAAGAAUAUUCCAUCGGUAUUCUUACUGAUGAAUGUUUAGACUGUUUUCCUGUUUUCCCUAUUACAACCCGUGCUGCAAUGAGCAUCCUCGUUCAGGCCUCCUCUUUCAGGUGGACACUGAGAAAUGGAAUGUCUGCAUCAUAAUCCCAUCAUUCUUCAAGUGAUGAAGUUAAAAAAGUUAAAUUUUAAAUCAUUUCCAGUUUAACCCGGGUAUAAUUGGGGUCUCACGUGGCCCAGUCUUUGUCCUGUGUCAAUUCAAAGAAACAAUUUGACAGAAAAAUUUAAUCCAACACAAUUCCACUUUUUUACCUGGUUGCUCAGGAAACCCCCGAAGGCAGUGGUGUGGUGGGAGGUGGGGGGGGGGGGCGGUCAAAGCCAGGAAUACAUUCUAUUUUGUGAAUUGGUUUGUUUGUCGUUUUCAGGUAUAAUUUUGAUUCUUUUGAUUUCAGAUGGAAUGGAGUUUAUCUUUGUUGAGUUUGGCAAAG